rnacentral:rRNA from 1 species
UACGUAGGGGGCAAGCGUUGUCCGGAUUUAUUGGGCGUAAAGAGCGUGUAGGCGGCCAUACAGGUCAGCUGUGAAAACUCGAGGCUCAACCUCGAGACGUCGGUUGAAACCGUAUGGCUAGAGUCCGGAAGAGGAGAGUGGAAUUCCCGGUGUAGCGGUGAAAUGCGCAGAUAUCGGUAGGAACACCAGUGGCGAAGGCGGUCUCCUGGGGCAUUCUUGACGCUGAGGCGCGAAAGCUGGGGGAGCGAACGGG